GGUAUACAGCUCAGUUGGUAGAGUGCUUGCCUUGCAUAAACAAGGCCUUGGGUUCAAUCCUCAGCACCA
rnacentral:tRNA from 1 species